CAGAAGGGACUUGCCUUGUCUCAGAUGAGACUUUGGACUGUGGAUUUUUGGCGAAGUAAGCAUAACCUGCCAUCUGGUGGAUGUAAGGUGAAUGAUUUCUGGAAGAAGCAAUGGAUGUUUACACAAGGAGAUGCUUAUCAGAAACAUGGAGGGAAAUAAGUAAGGUGAACAAGUGCAUGCUGGAAUGGGGAAAUUGCAAACCAUAUAUAUUGUCAGAGGUAAUGACUCUGUUUGUUGUUGCCUUGUAUUGCUGCACAUUACCUUUUCAAGAGAAGCUUGAAAUGUAAAACAUAAUGAGACAUCUUAUUUCGAUGAAGGCAUCUACUUGAAGUUACUGGAAAAAAAAAAAGAAUAUGAAUGUCAAAUUCAGUCUAGGGAACACAACUUUUGCUUUCUAUUCUUAAGAAGGAGACUUUCAAAAUAAAGUCACUAAUAACAAUUCUAAAUGUUCCAAAAUGCAUUUAUUGAGAUGAUCAAGUACCCAAAGUUGGAUUUAGAUCUUUACUUGUUUUUUCUUCUAUCAUAGUGUAAUGUUGUCAAGAUUUUAAAUCUCAUGUCUUUCAUACAAACUUACAACCUAAUAUCUGCUUUACCGAUUUUAAGGGUAGAUUGGAAUAAUGCAUAUAGAGCACCUAAACAGGAUGUCGAUAUACAUCAGUAUAUAUUCCUAACACGUAAUUUCCCUAAAAAAUGUGUCACAAAACAUGAUGUUUUAAAAAAAGAAAGAAAACUUGGGACAUUAUUGUCUCUUAAAUAUUUUUUAAUAUGUUAAAAUCAAAAAUAUAAUUGUAUAAAAAGUAAUACCUACCAAUUGAUAAUUCUGAAAAAACAAUAUUUGUAAAGCUUCUAGGAAGCAACAAAGUCUAAUUACAAUUAAACAAUGGUAUAAUCAACAUGGGCACUUCAGUAUGACUCUCAAGCAGUACAAAAGAUAAAAAUGAAACAUAAAAAAUAAAAAAUGAUAAAUGUUGACCUGAUAAUUCGUGAUAAUUUUUUUUUGAGCACAAUUGAAAACCAAUGCUUUGGUAUAAAUUCAUUUGAAAUCUUUAAUUCUGCAUUUCUAGUUUAAUAAAACCAGCCAUGUUUGAUUCCAAACACUCUGCAAAUUUUAAGAGAAACUUUGCAGAGCAAAUCAACAUCAUAAGCAUUAUGGCAACCACAAUAUUUGUUAAACUAGGUUCAGGGGGAGCAUUUAUUCCUUUGGUUAUUUCAACUAAACUGCAUUUCUGCCUCGAAAGUGUUUCAUGAGACUCCAGUGGAUGAGGAGCAGUUGUGAUUCAUUUUAGUACCAGAAUAUUCCAGAAUAAUUAGCUUUUAGUGAAGAGCUGCCAUCAUGAGCCAAGUUUUAAAAUAUGCUGUUUUCCUCAGUU
rnacentral:lncRNA from 1 species